AGCUCUUUAUCAUCAUAAUUUCUGAUGUAAAGAGCAUGAUGCCAUGGACAAAAUGGGCCCUCAGUGACUAUCCGAUGCAGGGCCAGGCACUGAAUGCAGAUGCAUAUACUGGAGCUCAGAGGAUUUCAGUGAGUUACCCCGGCCACAGCCAGUGAGCAGCGAUGUCAAGAUGUCUUGAAUCCUGGGCCUCAGCUGCAAAGCCGUAACCAGUCCUCUGUGUUCCCAUGGGCCAGUGCUUUACAAAGGUCCUUGCAGAGAAUCAUGCCAGGUUAGGCUGGUGGUCCCAGAGGAGGAUAAGAGGCUUAUGGAGCAGAGUUGCCUAAUCAGGCCCAGCCAAGAUCAGCAGACCCUCAACCAAUACAUAGACACACGAACCAGAUAAAUGGUUUUGUUAUUUGCCACUGAGAAAUGGUUCAUCCCUAGAAGAUUGUGGUAUUUCUGGCCAUACGCAGGAAAGGUGCCACAGAUGCUCAAGUAUAGGCAUCAGCUACCACCCCAUCUGCUGGUGGUGCUCAUACUUCUCCGGGAUACCUCCCCUCCAGUCUCCUCCACCCCUACAGGGUCAGCACUGCUCUUAAGCCUUGAAGUGUCACAUCUGCAUGGCAGCUGCCAGCAAAAGGGAGAAAAAUCUCUGUAUCCCUUCAGGUGACACUAGUUGCUGUAUGGAUAAACACCUAAAUCUCACUUGGCUGAACACAA
rnacentral:lncRNA from 1 species